NNNGGCUACGGCGAUAUUUACCCCACGACACCGCUGGGGAAAGUUAUAGGAAGUGUAUGUUGUAUUUGCGGUGUCUUGGUAAUCGCGUUGCCCAUUCCUAUCAUUGUCAAUAAC
rfam:Tribolium castaneum strain Georgia GA2 linkage group LG7, whole genome shotgun sequence.